rnacentral:lncRNA from 1 species
AUUAUUGUCAUAAAGCUCUCAGAGAUGCCUGGCACGAGGGGAUGUAACAGCAGGAAGACUGGAGAGCGUCACUACAGGGCGAGCAGCGUCUUGUGAGGUCUGAGAUAAACGGCUCUGACACAAUAUGCUCUGUCCAUCCUUGGGCCUGUGCUGCUUCUUCCACACAACAGAUUUUGAAGUCAGAUCCAUCACAGAGUUACUCCAGCUGCCCCAUGGGGGAUGCAGCCCAUCACCCCGCUGCCCACAUCCAUGUCCAACCCAGCCCCAAACAGCAAGGAUAUUUCUUCUUGGGAUGGCCAGUAAGAGGCAGGGAUGGUCCCACUAAAAGGCUCCAAGUCCCAAGGCUGAGUCUGGGGUGGCAGAUCGUGUUCACAGGCAUCUGCAACACUAAGGAGGUGUGCUGCUCUAUCUGCCUCUCUGCUCAAGGCCAUUUUGAGAUCCAUUUUGAAUUAUUGUUUGUGGAUUUAGAAGAGUUCCAGCAGUGAUUUCAGAGCACGCUGUGGAUCUGAGGUACCUCCUACAAAAUGGAUUUGGCCUCCGUUCCUUCAUUCUGUUCUCUUGGUCAACUUCUCUGUGCCAGGGAAAGCAGUAACAGAGAAAGGAUGGAGAAUUCCUGCUGCAUUUCCCAAUUCAGAGGAAGAACGCAGCUCCUAAGGUCAGAGAACAUAACUUCCAGCUGAUUAACCAAUACACAAGCUCGAUAUACAAGCUCGGUGUGCAGUGAGCACUGGCUGCCUUUGGCGAAAUGAUGGGAAGGCAGCCAAAGACAAACAUGCUGGAUGUCCGCAGGCUGGAAGAAGAGUAGACAAGGGGAAUUGGAGUCAAAAGCAGUUCUAUGUCCUCUGGUUUGCUGUUGUGUUCAGAUCCCCCAGCCUGAGUGGGAUCUUUGACAUGCUCGUACUGCUGCCAGCUGCAUUCACAUCCAUGCACAUCCUGCAUACAGAUGGUCGGACUGAGCAUCCUGACUUUCUCCUCCAUCAAUUGAGGUGAUACAAUAAUCGUAUCAAGGGAUCUGUGAUGAAAACUAUCAUGCACAUAGAUGAAAGGAGAGGAUCUGAGUAGGAAAAAUGCAGUCUUGUGCUCCGCAUAAAAGCGGUGCCCAUUGACACACUUACUUUGUAGAUCUGUGAUUGUGACUUCAUUAAUUUAAGCCUGUUUGAAGACAGCGGUGUUUUGCAGCUGACAGCAGCAAGGCCAGCGAGGAGCAAUCUAUUACAAAACAGGCUGUGUAGUUCACCGUGUAAUUGGGACUUGCUGCUGAGCUCCCUUCUUUGGAAGGGGAUUUCUAAAACAUUUCUUAUCACGAUUAAUAGGAGCCUGCCAAAGUGUGCCUCCUCUUCCCCUCCUACAACCCAUUCCAGUGGGAGAGCUCCCAUUUUUGCCAGCCGGUGCCAUCUGUAACCACCCCUGUGCUAACAAAAGCAUAUUCAAGCCAUAAAUUCCCAAUAAACUAAAUAUAGUCAGGGACA